AUCCAUUGUCCAUGGAUUCACUAUUUAGGACAUAUAUCGUUUAUUGAGAUAGUCCUAAUUAGUAUCUUCGCCAUUUGAUGUAUAAGAAUCAUCUAUACAUCCAUUCAUUUGUCCUGAAAGGUUUCUUCCAAAGAUUGACUUUCAGGGCAUAUUUCUGAAGGAUUAUUUUGUGAAAACAUGUUCAUUUAAGCAACAUCUAUAAGCAUGCAAUUAACAAUUAAAGGUGGAAUCAUGCUUGCAUGCACUUAAAAACAAAACAUUAACCAUGAAAUUCAAAGCCUAGUAGAUUGGUGAACUAAAACUCAACUCAAAACAAAGUGAGUUGAAAUUGUACCUUUGUAGAUUCCUCUUUGCAUAAGCAAAGGCUAAUCACCCAAAGAGAGGGCCUUCAUUCCUUGCAUCUAAAAUCUAUGGAUUUGGAUGGAUGAAUAGGUUUCUCCAAGUUCCCAAAAUUGAGAACCUCUAAGUCUCUUCACCAAGGAGAGAUUGGAGAAGAAAUGAGUGACCUUGGAGUAGUGGGAUUGCAAGAUGCACCCCCAAGGUGGCCGGCCUCUUUAGAGAGAAAUGGAGAGACAAGUUCUCACCAAUUUUCUCCAAAACAAACCCUUUAUGAAUUUUGGCUAUAAAGUCAUAUUUAUACCUUUAUUCAUUUGAGUGGCAAACUUGUAAAUAAGUCCAAGUUCACUACCCUAACCAAUAUGGCCGGCCAUUAGGAUAUUUUGGACUAAUUGGGCCUUUGUGAAUCAUUAUUCAUUAAGUUGUCAUACAACUUAAUGUUAAUGGGCUUGACGUUCGAAGCCCAUUGGGCCUUAAGGUCCAAAACUAUCCCGAGGUCUUUAACGAACUUAUUCGUUUGAUUAAUUAACAUAUUAAUUAAUCCUUGCCAUAAAUAAAUGAUUAAACCAUUUAAUCAUUCUUACUCAUCUCCAUUGUUUCUUCAAUCUCCUCCUUACACGGUGUGCGAUCCAUUAGGUUCCUUUUAGCGAGGCAGUGGGCGAUUAAAACCAUUUUACAUCGAUUGUGAAUUGAAACUUACUUUCAAUUCUCCCUUUAGUGAUUACACAUGUUUAGGGCUUCCACAAACCAUGAGUGACACCUUGCAGCAUAUCAUGGUUACCCAAGCUAAUCAGAAAGAGGUAGAGAAAACCUAUUCAGUUUGGGAUUACAAAUGCAAUACGGUCUUUCUCUAAUCUAAUACUCCUGACCACAUUGUUUGGUUUGAUAGUUUAUUUAUUCCAUGUCUACUAUCCAAUGUGAUUCGUGUGCUUAUAUGAUUUCCUUGAAUGUGAUUUAGAACGACUUUUCUAAAUCUCAUUCAUACUCUGGCCAGAGAUUCUAAAUCAUAUCAUAGAGUAUUCUCCCUCAAACGGUUUGAAGGUUAGAAGAUCCCUUGUUGCGCAUUCACUUGCCUCCAUGACUAAGUGGCUUAACCCUAACGAUGCCGUGGACACCUCGAUGGGGUGACUUUGACAUAAUCAAAGAUCAAGGACUUAACCACAAGACAACUGUGAUGCCUCAGGUCAAAGGACUAAUUUGCAUUAUCCCAAACAUGAGUUCUCAUGUGACAUGAGUAUGAGAACUCUUCGUUGAUCGCGUUUAGUGAACUCAUUCUCUACUGAGCACCUACGUACUUGUCUUGAUGUCACACACACCAAUGACUCGAGACUAGUCACUCUCCCUGAGAGAAGACAUAGCACGUACCGAUCUUGACGGACUGUCAAUGCCUAAUUGGCAAUCCUAUGAUCAAGAACAUUUAGGAUGUGUCUACGAAAGAAUGGUCUCAUGAAUCUAACUUCAUUAGAUUACAUUCUCCCAAUCACAUAUUCCUUGGACUUUAUCGUUUAAGCAUAUAACAUUUAUAUGAGACGGCUCAAACAAUAAUCUUUGCCCUUUAUAGUUAAACUAGAUUAGUUUAACAUGUGAAAUGUCCGUAAAGUAUCAUCAUAUGAUUGGCUUUAGGGCACAUUUCCAACAAUCUCCCACUUGCACUAGAGCCAAUCAGCUUAGUCAUCAGUGAUGAUACCUCUUCUGUAGUCAUUUCAUAAAUGGCUGAAUAGUAGGCCUAGGCAAUGGAUAUCUAUAUGUUAUCCAUAGAAGCAACCUUGAGAAUAACGACGUCACCAUUAUACAUGAUUCUCAAUCAUGUGGUUCAGUCUCUCAUAUGAGUUCGGAUCUUGAUGAGACCUUGAUUCCCUGGCUUGAGCUAUCGCCCCAUUAGUGUCAUACACUUUCUGGUUGGAACCGAAUAGAGAGUUCAUAAAUGAACUUUCCCAUCCAAACAACAUUGUUGUAAGCUUCUAUAUGGCAAUAUAUUUUGCAUUCAUAAUGGAACACACUAAAGUCAUUACUUUAAUGUUUCCAUCCAAAUAUCUCUUUAGUCAUAAUAAAGAGAUAUCCGUUUAUCUCUUCAUUCAUAAUGAAGAAACAUCCAAUGAUGGAUUAGAUUCAUAAUCUAAUACAUUUACGCUUCCAUUACGUUACUCUAAUUCUUCCUCGAUCUUUGAGGAAUCUAUCCUUCAGUAUUUCUUAAAUACUUAAGGACUCACUUGACAGUUGCCAUGGUUCUGAUCCUGGGCUUGCACUGAUAUCGUCUUGUACCGUUCUAGGUACAACUCAUAUCAAUGUUUUUCAUACAAUAUGAAAUACAUAAAUCACCUUCUGCUUAUGCAUAAAGGAUUCUAUUUACGCAUUAUUUCUUUGGGAGUCAAAGGGCACGUUCCCUUUGAGAAGGGCAACUUGCUAGUCACACUAGAGUCAUCCUUCUAAUUGAAGUUUAUUAUCAUAUGAGAAACUUCCUAGCACCUUUUGUCUAUUAGUAGGGAUUGAUAUAAUCAAAUUAUAUCUUGAAAUCUAUCAUUAUAGAUUUACUUCCCAUGUUUAUAGACAAUGUCUCCCAUAUACAUUCUAUCGUUUAUAGAAUGUUUAAAGUCAUAACUUUAACGAAGAAAUAUUCUUUUCAUUUCCAAAAUUAAUAUAUCAUAUAUACAUUCAUAUAAAUCACAUAUAUAUUUAUAUAUAUAUAUAUACACAAAUUUAGGAAUAUGAUUAACUCCCACUAAUCUUUUGUAAACCUAGUAAACAAAAGAUUCAUUUACAUCUUUAUGAGAAAUCAAACGAUUUGACCUUUCUCUCAUAAGACGCUUAUAGCUCCCACUAGCUUGCUAAGAUCCAUGAUGGAUGGAUCUCUACAACUUACAUGUCUUGUGAUUCAUAGUUUUAGACAUAUAUUAUUAAGACUAUCUUAAUAAUGGUUUCGGAAACCCAUAUUAUGUCCAAACAUUGAAUCACCAUUUAGUUGUAGCUAGCAAUCUUCGAAUUAAUUGAAACCAAGACUACGUCAAAGAUGGUUUCUUCAAAGUCAACCAUUCCUUUUGAUUGUAGUUCACCUUAAGCUACCAAUUAGCUUAUGAAGGUUUCAUUAUUUCGGGUCAAAUGGUACUUUACCAUUUUCUUGAGUAUAUAUCAUAUAUACACUCAAAGUAGUCAUAAGGAUUUUCAUUCUUAUUUCCUUCGAAUUAAGAGGUGCAACUCUAUGACAUAGUCAUAAAGUUCAAACCAUUCAACUGAGACGAUUUAUAAUCCUUCUCGACUACCUUGGAGCUUUUGGUAUAGGAACUAGGUUGUUUAUAUUUGUUGAUUACUUUCUUGUCUCUCAAAGAACCCAUUCUUUGAGUUCUAUCUCUUGUUCAUUUGCUUUUAGGCAAAUCACAUUGUAGGAUUACAAUGAACUACCCAACAAAACAACAUUUGUUAGUUGGUUUAUAGAAGCGAUAUCCAAAAGUUAAUUUAAGGAUAUCCAAAAGUUAAUUUAAGGAUAUCCUACAAGAUUGUUAUCAAACAAAUAUUGCUUAUUUGCACACAACCCCAAAUCUUAACAUGCUUAAGAUUUGUCUUUCUUUCCAACUACAUCUUAUGGAGUCAUGAAAAAUUUUGGAAGAUCUUCUCAUUGACAAUCAUAUUGUUUUAGAAGUAUAUAUCCUAUAUAUGGGUAAUAGAUAACAUCUAACGAACUAAAUCUUAUUCGAGUUCGUUCUUCUCCUAAUGGAGAAAUACAUUAUCUUAUGAUGCUAUUUUCCUUGAUAUCUUUCAAGGAAACUCAUCUAAAGUGUUACCUUUCCUUGGAUCAAAUCUAAGGAGGUAAAUACUUUAGAUGUCUUACUCAUCAACUUACAUUUCUUGAAUUCUUUGAAACAUUUUGCAAAGUAUUCGGACUUGUGUUUAUUCAAAAUAAACUAUAGUCCAACCGAGAGUGAUCUUCGGUGAAUGUCAUCCAACAUGAGUAGUAUUAUGUUGUGGACAAGUGCCACUAACAUCUAAGUGAAUUAACCUCAACAACUUUGUGAUUCUUUCUUCUUUCCAAAAGAAUAAAGAUUCGAACAUUUCGCCUCUAUACAAUUUUAACAAGAAGGUAUUGGAUCCGGAUCUAACGAUCCAAAGCGUCCAUCUAUGACCAACUCGUAAUUUAUGUUUUUAGAGGUAUCACAACUUUAGUUGGGAUUAGUCACUAUCUUGCAACCUUUUGGGUUUUAAGCAUCAUUGUAUUCUAAACAGUUAACACUACCAUAUCAUCUCUACUAUAGAGAUAAUUAAUUAGAUUACAAUAAUCUAAUCAUUGAUUAAUAAAGAACAAUGUUUUGUCAAACAAAACAUUUAUCCAUUUCACUAUAGUGACGGAAUUUAGUUCCUUAAAAUUGGAAUAUAAAGACAAUCUAUGUUUUUCCAAUUUCUUUGGUAGUUCAUAUGAGGAAGUAAGUACCAUCUGCUUUCGCAGAGAUCUACAUUUGAUUCACGUUUCGAAUGUGAAGUACUUUCUCUUCUCUCAUUAAUCUUCUACUUCUUAUUAGCCACACUUUUACAACGAUUGUAAAACAUAGUUACUAAUACGGAAUCAAGCAUUCAAGUAGAAGAACCAACUGUUUUGAACUAUUCAAGAACAAUUUACAACACCUUCGAAAGGUGUGUUUCUUGACACUUGCAAGACAUUUCUUGCAAAUACCCCUUCCAAUGUCCAUCCUUUCAUAAAGAAAGUUUGUUCCCUUGGAGUUAUUUUAUCUUCUUCAUUUGACUUCUCCUUUGACUACAAUAGUCAUGGUCCCUAAACUCCCACUAUCUCUCUUGAAACUUAUUUCAAUUGUGUUAUACACAUCAAACAUUUUUGGAGAGCAUGUGGUUAUUGUUCACUACAUAGUUUACAAUAAACUUAGUGAACCAUUAAGGAUAGGGACACAAAGGUGAAGUCCUUGCCUAGUUUCCGUCUCGUUAAGUGGUUUAUCACUUCAACACUCAAUGAUUCAAAAUCAUCAUAAGUCCAUGUUAAUGGACUAUUUUUGUCAACCAACCAUUAUGUUCUAAACAUAAUUACAAACCUUCAAGAGUUGUACAAGGCAACUCUCAUUUCUUCAUACAACAAUUUGUAAGUGAAGAAUCAUGGCACAUAAAGUGUCCAUGCCUUUGUGCUUUCUUCUCAAGUUCUUUGUUCAUUUAACAAAGAAACAAGCACUAAGUGUUUGCAUUGACUAAGGGUUGUUCAAAGCAACUAUUAUUUCUUCAUACAACGAUUUGUAAGUGAAGAACUAAUAACACUAAAAGUGUCCUUGUCAUUAUGCUAAUCUUCGUAAGUUCCUUUGUUCAUUUAACAAAGGAUUAAGCAUUGGUUGGUUUGUGUUGUCCUCUUCAUGAUAGACUUUCUAACAUGUUCUUUUCCAAUGAUACAUUAUCAAUAGGAAGAUUUGUGAGGAUGAGACUACUUAGGUACAUAUACAAUCCAUUUUAAGACAAUCUUUGGGAUUGUGUUACCAAGUCCGGAAACUAAAGCAUUCGGCUUUUCUUUGUCAAGUUUUGGAUAGCGUUUGCAAAUAUAUUGGUUAACAAAUACAUAAUGAAUAUAAAUUGAUUGAUUUUAAGCCAUUUGAUUCGGGUCUUUAAAUCAAAUAACACCACCCACUAUUUUUGGCAAAUUCCAUAUCCCUCAUUGGAAUUCGAGAGUUUUGGAUGAAACUCCUAGUAGGGUAUGGGAGGCUCACUAUUACCAAGCCCACCUCACAAUGAUAUGAUAUUGGCUAGCAUUAAUAAUAAUGAGAGAGUACGCUUACUCAUUUGCAACUAAUGCAAGUACCCAUCUUAUUUGGCCUCUAGAGAAUGUCACCUCACAAUGAUAUGAUGUUGGCUCCAUUGCACUUAGUUAAGUCAUUCCCACCAUGCUUAGUUCAUGAAGGGGUUCAAGAAUAGCCUCACAAUGAUAUGAUAUUGGCCAUCCUCGUUGCCUACAUCAACCUCAUCAUAUGUUUAUGGAUUCCUCCUGAGUAUAAGCAUGCACUUUGUACUCCCCCAUGAUAGGGUGAAGCCGGUGUACAAGUCAUAAACGAUUGGAUCCCACCACGGUGGAAGGCCUACGAAAGAGUGUUCUAAGCACUCUCACGCUUAUCAACUUAAUAAUGGUUUGGUUGAGGGUUUUAGGUCUCAUCACAUAUAAACAUACAUUUUAAUCUCUAUUAAAACAAUUUUGGUCCUAUUACAACUAUUGGUCCAUAUGAUUGUUUUUAGUUGUAUAUAAUACUCCCACUAUGCUUAUAAAACGGUUUUUUAAAGCAAGAGUAUAUGAUACUACUAACAUAACCUUUGCAUUCAUUUGAUGGACUAUAUAGUUGCCUUAGGGCCUUAGGAUGAUUAUGAACCUUUGUUUAGAUUCAACACGAGCCUUGUGUUGAAUCUCGGUCUAGGGAUGGUGAUUGAUUUUAGUUACGCGUUUAAUCACAUUAAGGCGUGUUGUCUUAGGGGCGUUGGACCCAACUACUUCAUUUUCAUGCAUAUCAAAUAAAGCAAGAAAGAAGUACUUCAAAGUAAAGGUGAGCUUAUGCUCAUUACAACAUUUGCAUAAAACAAAUUACUUUAAAGUAAAGAAGAGCUUAUGCCCUUUUACAACAUUUGAUCAAAUCAAAUUACAACCAAAAUCUAAUCUACACAUUCCCAUGGUUCAAACAAAUUUGAAACGGCCUUUCACAUAGCUCAAUUAUAUUAGGCUUAGGUUCAUAAUCACCCUUUAAUUAAUUAACACUUUAACUAAUUAAAUUGAAUGCAACAUUUUCAUUUGGUUUUUGUAUCCAUAAAAUUGAUUUAAAUGGAGCUAAACAAAAUGAAAAUCCAAUUCUCAUUUAAAGAGACAAAACAAUUUUGUUCUCUACCUAAUUUGGGCCAAUAUGCAAUAACCACAACUUUUGGGCCAUAAAGCAAUUAACCUCAAUUUUUGGGCUAUAUUGCAAAACUUUUGGGGUCACUUUGUAAAGACACAAAAGUCCACUACUUCAUGUAAUUACAACUAGAACCCAAAAUUUAAUCAAUGCAAAAACUUCAUUAAAGGAGCAAAACAAUUUGUCCUUUAGCGUUUUUGGACCUAAACGUAAAAACGUAAACUUUUGGGCCAAAGUGCAAAUACACAAAAGUAUCAAAACUUUAUGUAAUUGCAUAAAAGCCCCAAAAGUACCCCCACUUAGGGGGUGGCCGGUUUUGGAAGAGGAUAAGUGAUGUGUGUGUUGAUUUGUGAGUUUUGACAUAAAGCAUGCAAGUGCACAAGUGGUGUGUGUGAAAGGGAAUUAAAUCCUUUCACACCCACCAUUAUUUCUAAUGCCAUUUAAACAAAUAUCUAAAACAUUUUAAACAUUUGAAAAAGCAUAAAACAUAAACUUUAUGAAAUAAAUCAAAACUUUGAAUCAAAAACACAAACCUUUUUGUUCUUGGCAAAAAUGUCAAGAACAAUGAAGAACAUUCAUGAAAAACCCAAAAUUUUUCCAUGAAAACUUUUUCACCCAAAAACAUUCCAAAACCAUUCAAACUUUAGGGAAAUAACAUCUAACCAAACUAGGGUACAUAGGGGUUCCAAAAGUCACUUGAAAACACUUUUAACAAGUCAAACAAGAACCCAAAAAUCCACCCUUUGGAUUUGGCCGAACAUCCCCAAAGUCAUGGCACCAAAUUUUUAGCUCCAAUAUUCAUGCUCUUAUGAACUACAUCUACAACAUUUGAGAUGGCAAAUUUUCUAACAAAAUUUACAUUCAAAGAAACAAGAAUAAAGCUUGUAACAAUUACAACUUUUAAAUCACAAACUAUGAACUACAAAACACAAAAGGAUUCACCAACUACUAGACCUAGGCUCUGAUACCACUUGAAGGAUUAUUUUGUGAAAACAUGUUCAUUUAAGCAACAUCUAUAAGCAUGCAAUUAACAAUUAAAGGCGGAAUCAUGCUUGCAUGCACUUAAAAACAAAACAUUAACCAUGAAAUUCAAAGCCUAGUAGAUUGGUGAACCAAAACUCAACUCAAAACAAAGUGAGUUGAAAUUAUACCUUUGUAGAUUCCUCUUUGCAUAAGCAAAGGCUAAUCAC
rnacentral:lncRNA from 1 species